rnacentral:rRNA from 1 species
CCUACGGGAGGCAGCAGUGGGGGAUAUUGCACAAUGGGGGGAACCCUGAUGCAGCGACGCCGCGUGGGUGAAGAAGCGCCUCGGCGCGUAAAGCCCUGUCAGCAGGGAAGAAAAUGACGGUACCUGAAGAAGAAGCCCCGGCUAACUACGUGCCAGCAGCCGCGGUAAUACGUCGGGGGCAAGCGUUAUCCGGAUUUACGGGGUGGAAAGGGGGCGCAGACGGGGAUGCAAGCCAGGAGUGAAAGCCCGGGGCCCAACCCCGGGACUGCUCUUGGAGCUGCGUGGCUGGAGUGCAGGAGGGGCAGGCGGAAUUCCUGGUGUAGCGGUGAAAUGCGUAGAUAUCAGGAGGAACACCGGUGGCGAAGGCGGCCUGCUGGACUGCAACUGACGUUGAGGCCCGAAAGCGUGGGGAGCAAACAGGAUUAGAUACCCUGGUAGUC